rnacentral:rRNA from 1 species
CCUACGGGAGGCAGCAGUGGGGAAUAUUGCACAAUGGGCGAAACCCUGAUGCAGCGACGCCGCGUGAGUGAAGAAGUCUUUCGGUAUGUAAAGCUCUUUUAGCAGGGAAGAAAAUGACGGUACCUGACUACGAAGCGCCAGCGAACUACGUGCCAGCAGCCGCGGUAAUACGUAGGGGGCAAGCGUUAUCCGGAUUUAAUGGGUGUAUAGGGGGCGUAGACGGCAGGACAAGUCUGGAGUGAAAUCCCGGGGCUUAACCCCGGAACUGCAUUGGAAACUGUGCAGCUAGAGUGCUGGAGAGGUAAGCGGAAUUCCUGGUGUAGCGGUGAAAUGCGUAGAUAUUAGGAGGAACACCAGUGGCGAAGGCGGCUUACUGGACAGUAACUGACGUUGAGGCGCGAAAGCGUGGGGAGCAAACAGGAUUAGAUACCCGAGUAGUC